rnacentral:rRNA from 1 species
GAUGAACGCUAGCGGCAGGCCUAACACAUGCAAGUCGAGGGGUAACAUAGAGAAGCUUGCUUUUCUGAUGACGACCGGCGCACGGGUGCGUAACGCGUAUAGAAUCUACCUUAUACUGAGGGAUAGCCUUUGGAAACGAAGAUUAAUACCUCAUGGUCUAUUAGAUUGGCAUCAAUUUAAUAGUAAAGGUUACGGUAUAAGAUGACUAUGCGUCCUAUUAGCUAGAUGGUGUGGUAACGGCACACCAUGGCAACGAUAGGUAGGGGCCCUGAGAGGGGGAUCCCCCACACUGGUACUGAGACACGGACCAG